UGUGUGAAGAAGGCCUUCGGGUUGUAAAGCACUUUCAGUCGUGAGGAAGGUGGUGUAGUUAAUAGCUGCAUUAUUUGACGUUAGCGACAGAAGAAGCACCGGCUAACUCCGUGCCAGCAGCCGCGGUAAUACGGAGGGUGCGAGCGUUAAUCGGAAUUACUGGGCGUAAAGCGCAUGCAGGUGGUUUGUUAAGUCAGAUGUGAAAGCCCGGGGCUCAACCUCGGAAUAGCAUUUGAAACUGGCAGACUAGAGUACUGUAGAGGGGGGUAGAAUUUCAGGUGUAGCGGUGAAAUGCGUAGAGAUCUGAAGGAAUACCGGUGGCGAAGGCGGCCCCCUGGACAGAUACUGACACUCAGAUGCGAAAGCGUGGGGAGCAAACAGGAUUAGAUACCCUGGUAGUCCACGCCGUAAACGAUGUCUACUUGGAGGUUGUGGCCUUGAGCCGUGGCUUUCGGAGCUAACGCGUUAAGUAGACCGCCUGGGGAGUACGGUCGCAAGAUUAAAACUCAAAUGAAUUGACGGGGGCCCGCACAAGCGGUGGAGCAUGUGGUUUAAUUCGAUGCAACGCGAAGAACCUUACCUACUCUUGACAUCCAGAGAACUUUCCAGAGAUGGAUUGGUGCCUUCGGGAACUCUGAGACAGGUGCUGCAUGGCUGUCGUCAGCUCGUGUUGUGAAAUGUUGGGUUAAGUCCCGCAACGAGCGCAACCCUUAUCCUUGUUUGCCAGCGAGUAAUGUCGGGAACUCCAGGGAGACUGCCGGUGAUAAACCGGAGGAAGGUGGGGACGACGUCAAGUCAUCAUGGCCCUUACGAGUAGGGCUACACACGUGCUACAAUGGCGCAUACAGAGGGCGGCCAACUUGCGANAGUGAGCGAAUCCCAAAAAGUGCGUCGUAGUCCGGAUUGGAGUCUGCAACUCGACUCCAUGAAGUCGGAAUCGCUAGUAAUCGUGGAUCAGAAUGCCACGGUGAAUACGUUCCCGGGCCUUGUACACACCGCCCGUCACACCAUGGGAGUGGGCUGCAAAAGAAGUAGGUAGUUUAACCUUCGGGGGGACGCUUACCACUUUGG
rnacentral:rRNA from 1 species